rnacentral:rRNA from 1 species
UACGUAGGGGGCAAGCGUUAUCCGGAUUUACUGGGAGUAAAGGGAGCGUAGACGGCUGUGCAAGCCAGAUGUGAAAGCCCGGGGCUCAACCCCGGGACUGCAUUUGGAACUGUGUAGCUGGAGUGUCGGAGAGGCAGGCGGAAUUCCUAGUGUAGCGGUGAAAUGCGUAGAUAUUAGGAGGACCACCAGUGGCGAAGGCGGCCUGCUGGACGAUGACUGACGUUGAGGCUCGAAAGCGUGGGGAGCAAACAGG